CCCUAGCCCUGAUAGAAGCGGUAUCCUUUUAUUUUUUUCCUUUAAAAAAAUAAAAGAUACAAGUGGAUAGCAGGAAAUAGC
rnacentral:sRNA from 1 species